rnacentral:rRNA from 1 species
GUGAGGCCUCAGGAUUUGCUUAGAGAAGGGGGCAACUCCAUCUCAGAGCGAAGAAUCUGGUCAAACUUGGUCAUUUAGAGGAACUAAAAGUCGUAACAAGGUUCCGUAGGUGAACCUGCGGAAGGAUCAUUA